GCGGCGGUCGUCCAGCCUGGUCUAGGACCCGAGUCUCCCAAGCUCGUGAUCCCGGGUUCAAAUCCCGGCCGCCGCACCA
rnacentral:tRNA from 1 species